CCUACGGGGAGCAGCAGUGGGGAAUAUUGCACAAUGGGGGAAACCCUGAUGCAGCGACGCCGCGUGAGUGAAGAAGUACUUCGGUAUGUAAAGCUCUAUCAGCCGGGAAGAAAAUGACGGUACCUGAUACAGAAGCCCCGGCUAACUACGUGCCAGCAGCCGCGGUAAUACGUAGGGGGCAAGCGUUAUCCGGAUUUACUGGGCGUAAAGGGAGCGUAGACGGCUGCACAAGUCAGGUGUGAAAUGCUGGGGCUUAACCCGGGAACUGCUUUUGAAACUGGGCAGCUAGAGUGCAGGAGAGGUAAGUGGAAUUCCGAGUGUAGCGGUGAAAUGCGUAGAGAUUAGGAGGAACACCGGUGGCGAAGGCGGCUUACUGGACAGUAACUGACGUUGAGGUGCGAAAGCGUGGGGAGCAAACAGGAUUAGAUACCCUAGUAGUC
rnacentral:rRNA from 1 species